rnacentral:sRNA from 1 species
CUCAGACAAAAUCAGUCUCAGUCUCGGCUCCCAAGGGGCAACAGCUCCUAAAUUUUUCGGCUUUCUAAUAAACAAAAUUGAAAUGUAAAAAAGUACUAUUUGCAAGCGACAUAUUUGUAGUAUUUUAUAAAGGGGGCUCUAUGAUGAUUCGACGCUAGGAUAUUACCUGUAGAAUAGCCUGUUUCGCAAAUGUAACGAGGUCUUCAAUCAGUUCGGCAUCAUGCGGAUAUUAAAAUGAAUAAUAUUAAAAUAUAAUAUAAGUAAUAUUAUUAUGAAAAUAGUCACAGAACACUAUACAUAAUAAUGCAUCAGCGACUGGCAACCACCGGAAGGAUGAAAACUACACUGAAAUAAUGGGAAAUGCGUUGUGUUAUUUUUUUCGACACUAAUUAUGGGACUUGUGGGACCCCAUAACACACAAAUUAAAAACACGAGAACGAAGAUGGCGUAAAUAUGGAAGUCUGCUUGGCCAAAUUACACAGUCUAGAUUCUAGAAUAUAAUCUUGACCUUAUCGUUUCCAAAUUUUCUCCCGAGGUUAAUAUCAGAGUCAGAACUAUCUUCUAAAUGUUUACACAAUCUUCAAUGG